AGUGAACGCUGGCGGUAGGCCUAACACAUGCAAGUCGAACGGCAGCACAGUAAGAGCUUGCUCUUACGGGUGGCGAGUGGCGGACGGGUGAGGAAUACAUCGGAAUCUACUUUUUCGUGGGGGAUAACGUAGGGAAGCUUACGCUAAUACCGCAUACGACCUACGGGUGAAAGCAGGGGAUCUUCGGACCUUGCGCGAUUGAAUGAGCCGAUGUCGGAUUUGCUAGUUGGCGGGGUAAAGGCCCACCAAGGCAACGAUACGUAGCCGGACAGAGAGGAUGAUCAGCCACACUGGAACUGAGACACGGUCCAGACUCCUACGGGAGGCAGCAGUGGGGAAUAUUGGACAAUGGGCGCAAGCCUGAUCCAGCCAUACCGCGUGUGUGAAGAAGGCCUUCGGGUUGUAAAGCCCUUUUGUUGGGAAAGAAAAGCAGCAGGUUAAUACCCCGCUGUUCUGACGGUACCCAAAGAAUAAGCACCGGCUAACUUCGUG
rnacentral:rRNA from 1 species